rnacentral:rRNA from 1 species
GCAUAGGAAUCUGCCCGGUAGUGGGGGAUAACCUGGGGAAACUCAGGCUAAUACCGCAUACGUCCUACGGGAGAAAGCAGGGGCUCUUCGGACCUUGCGCUAUCGGAUGAGCCUAUGUCGGAUUAGCUUGUUGGUGAGGUAAUGGCUCACCAAGGCGACGAUCCGUAGCUGGUCUGAGAGGAUGAUCAGCCACAUCGGGACUGAGACACGGCCCGAACUCCUACGGGAGGCAGCAGUGGGGAAUAUUGGACAAUGGGGGCAACCCUGAUCCAGCCAUGCCGCGUGUGUGAAGAAGGCCUUCGGGUUGUAAAGCACUUUCAGUGGGGAAGAAGGCCUUGGGGCUAAUACCCUCGAGGAAGGACAUCACCCACAGAAGAAGCACCGGCUAACUCCGUGCCAGCAGCCGCGGUAAUACGGAGGGUGCGAGCGUUAAUCGGAAUUACUGGGCGUAAAGCGCGCGUAGGUGGCUUGAUAAGCCGGUUGUGAAAGCCCCGGGCUCAACCUGGGAACGGCAUCCGGAACUGUCAGGCUAGAGUGCAGGAGAGGAAGGUAGAAUUCCCGGUGUAGCGGUGAAAUGCGUAGAGAUCGGGAGGAAUACCAGUGGCGAAGGCGGCCUUCUGGACUGACACUGACACUGAGGUGCGAAAGCGUGGGUAGCAAACAGGAUUAGAUACCCUGGUAGUCCACGCCGUAA